rnacentral:misc_RNA from 1 species
UUGUCAAAGGGCAACAGGACAAACUUCCAAGAACGCAGACUGGUAUUGGACUGUUGAAAGAUCUCUCAAGAAUUCAUGGAGAAUUUUCCAGGUGGUGCUGUAAAUUCAUGGAAAUCUUGGCUGGAAUGGUGACUGCAGGCAAUUCUAGCAGUUCAGCUGCACAGAAUCUCUCUGGGGGUAUGGUCUAGUGCACAUUACGCCAAAUGAAUUAAAAACAACAAGAUAGUACUGUGAUGACACAAUCCUAUAUUUAUCAGUCUGCCGUGGAGAAGUACUUUGGAGCAAAGAAUUGCACUUCUCAACAUUAUUCUGGAUAAUGAGUCAUUACAGCAAGAGAAUAACUUGAAAUAAGUGAACAAAAAGAAAAAAAAUCUUGGAUCAGAUCUGGUGGAUUUUCAGCACUUGACCAGCAGAGUAUAUCAGAAUGAAUGCAGAAAAAUAGGUAAGCUGCAUGGUGGAUACUAGGUAUGGCGUUCACCAGACAAUCUUAAUUUACAACUGAAAAUCAUACUUCUUUUAGAAUGGGC